UUCUCUGCUGCUAUAAACCCUAACCGUUUUGAUUCUAUUACACUUGCUGUAUUUUGUUGUUCUUCAACACACCCGAGAGAUCUCGUCUUUCGAUUCUGUACAUAUUCAGGAAUGGCGGAGGUGGCGAAACUGCUGUAUAUAGUUGUGGUGGACGAGGAGGAGAAGAACGAGAAAGGGAAAGAGUCGUUCCGAUAUACGCGUCCGGUUUUG
rnacentral:misc_RNA from 1 species